CGUAGAGGGUACGACCCUGGCGCUUGAGCGCGUAGACGACGUCCAUGGCGGUGACGGUCUUGCGGCGGGCGUGCUCCGUGUAGGUGACGGCGUCGCGGAUGACGUUCUCGAGGAAGAUCUUGAGCACGCCACGGGUCUCCUCGUAGAUCAGCCCGGAGAUGCGCUUCACGCCGCCCCUCCUCGCCAGCCUCCGGAUCGCCGGCUUCGUGAUCCCCUGGAUGUUGUCGCGAAGCACCUUCCGGUGACGCUUCGCGCCGCCCUUGCCGAGCCCCUUGCCGCCCUUGCCCCUGCCCGACAUCGCCGCCGCCGCUCGCCUCCGCGCUUCCGAAGUGGUGGGUUGGUGGUGGAGGUUGUGACUCCCGUGUGAAGAGGACACUAGUGCUGAGGUGG
rnacentral:lncRNA from 1 species